rnacentral:tRNA from 1 species
GGGCUUGUAGGGUAGUGGAUAUCCUUUCGGCCUUCGGAGCCGACGACGGGGGUUCGAAUCCCCCCGAGCCCG